rnacentral:rRNA from 1 species
GGGGGGUCCGGAUGUAAACACGUGAGCAACCUGCCCCUGACUCUGGGAUAAGCGCUGGAAACGGCGUCUAAUACUGGAUAUGUGACGUGACCGCAUGGUCUGCGUCUGAAAGAAUUUCGGUUGGGGAUGGGCUCGCGGCCUAUCAGCUUGUUGGUGAGGUAAUGGCUCACCAAGGCGUCGACGGGUAGCCGGCCUGAGAGGGUGACCGGCCACACUGGGACUGAGACACGGCCCGACUCCUACGGGAGGCAGCAGUGGGGAAUAUUGCACAAUGGGCGCAAGCCUGAUGCAGCAACGCCGCGUGAGGGACGACGGCCUUCGGGUUGUAAACCUCUUUUAGCAGGGAAGAAGCGAAAGUGACGUACCUGCAGAAAAAGCGCCGGCUAACUACGUGCCAGCAGCCGCGGUAAUACGUAGGGCGCAAGCGUUAUCCGGAAUUAUUGGGCGUAAAGAGCUCGUAGGCGGUUUGUCGCGUCUGCUGUGAAAUCGGAGGCUCAACCUCCGGCCUGCAGUGGGUACGGGCAGACUAGAGUGCGGUAGGGGAGAUUGGAAUUCCUGGUGUAGCGGUGGAAUGCGCAGAUAUCAGGAGGAACACCGAUGGCGAAGGCAGAUCUCGGGCCGUAACUGACGCUGAGGAGCGAAAGGGUGGGGAGCAAACAGGCUUAGAUACCCUGGUAGUCCACCCCGUAAACGUUGGGAACUAGUUGUGGGGUCCAUUCCACGGAUUCCGUGACGCAGCUAAGCAUUAAGUUCCCCGCCUGGGGAGUACGGCCGCAAGGCUAAAACUCAAAGGAAUUGACGGGGACCCGCACAAGCGGCGGAGCAUGCGGAUUAAUUCGAUGCAACGCGAAGAACCUUACCAAGGCUUGCAUAUACGAGAACGGGCCAGAAAUGGUCAACUCUUUGGACACUCGUAAACAGGUGGUGCAUGGUUGUCGUCAGCUCGUGUCGUGAGAUGUUGGGUUAAGUCCCGCAACGAGCGCAACCCUCGUUCUAGUUGCCAGCACGUAAUGGUGGGAACUCAUGGGAUACUGCCGGGGUCAACUCGGAAGAAGGUGGGGAUGACGUCAAAUCAUCAUGCCCCUUAUGUCUUGGGCUCCACGCAUGCUACAAUUGUCGUUACAAGGCUUGCAAUACCCGCGGAGGUGGAGCGAAUUCCAAAAGGCCGCUCGAAGUUCGGAGUGAGGUCUGCCACUCGACCUCAUGAAGUCGGAGUCGCUAGUAAUCGCAGAUCAGCAACGCUGCGGUGAUACGUUCCCGGGUCUUGUACACACCGCCCGUCAAGUCAUGAAAGUCGGUAACACCUGAAGCCGGUGGCCUAACCCUUGUUGGAAGGGAAUCCCCUGUUCCCC